rnacentral:rRNA from 1 species
GACGAACGCUGGCGGCGUGCUUAACACAUGCAAGUCGAACGGUGACCCAGGGCUUGCCCUGGUGAUCAGUGGCGAACGGGUGAGUAACACGUGGGCAACCCUGCCCCUGACUUCGGGAUAACUCCUCGAAAGAGGAGCUAAUACCGGAUACGACCACUUCGGACAUCCGAUGGUGGUGGAAAGUUUUUCGGUCAGGGAUGGGCCCGCGGCCUAUCAGCUAGUUGGUGGGGUAAUGGCCUACCAAGGCGACGACGGGUAGCCGGCCUGAGAGGGCGACCGGCCACACUGGGACUGAGACACGGCCCAGACUCCUACGGGAGGCAGCAGUGGGGAAUAUUGCGCAAUGGGCGAAAGCCUGACGCAGCGACGCCGCGUGAGGGAUGAAGGCCUUCGGGUUGUAAACCUCUUUCAGCAGGGACGAAGCGAAAGUGACGGUACCUGCAGAAGAAGCACCGGCUAACUACGUGCCAGCAGCCGCGGUAAU